rnacentral:rRNA from 3 species
CACCGGCAGCUCAAGUGGUGGCCAUUAUUAUUGGGCCUAAAGCGUUCGUAGCCGGUUUGAUAAGUCUCUGGUGAAAUCCCGCAGCUUAACUGUGGGACUUGCUGGAGAUACUAUCAGACUUGAGGUCGGGAGAGGUUAGGGGUACUCCCAGGGUAGGGGUGAAAUCCUAUAAUCCUGGGAGGACCACCUGUGGCGAAGGCGCCUAACUGGAACGAACCUGACGGUGAGUAACGAAAGCCAGGGGCGCGAACCGG